GCAUGGUUGUCGUCAGCUCGUGCCGUGAGGUGUCGGCUUAAGUGCCAUACGAGCGCAACCCCUUUCGCCAGUUGCCAUCAGGUGAUGCUGGGCACUCCGGCGACACAGACAACAGUAAGGUGUGAGGAAGGUGGGGAUGACGUCAAAUCAGCACGGCCCUUACGUCCGGGGCUACACACGUGUUACAAUGGGGUGUACAGAGCGUCGGCGGCCGGCAACGUCCGCCCAAUCGUGAAAGCAUCCCUCAGUUCGGAUGGGGUCUGCAACCCGACCCCAUGAAGCUGGAUUCGCUAGUAAUGGGCGAUCAACCAUGGCGCGGUGAAUACGUUCCCGGGCCGUUGUACACACCGCCC
rnacentral:rRNA from 1 species